UGUAUUUUGCUCAAAAAGCGCACAAUGUAUCUGCAAAUAUAAUUCUGCAAAUUCAAAAUCACACAAAAGACUUAUAUGUAAGUGUGCAUCCAUGAGAG